UACGGAAGGGGCAAGCGUUGUUCGGAAUCAUUGGGCGUAAAGGGCGCGUAGGUGGUUCUGUAUGUCUACCGUGAAAGCGUACGGCUCAACCGUAUUUUUGUCGGUGGAAAACUGCAGGACUUUGAGGCUGGGGAGGGGGCUGGUGGAAUUCCCCUGUGUAGCGGGUGAAAAUGCGUAGAGAUGGGGGGAGAACACUCGUGGCGAAGGCGGCCAGCUAGACCAGUUCUGACACUGAGGCGCGACAGCGUGGGGAGCAAACAGG
rnacentral:rRNA from 1 species